rnacentral:rRNA from 1 species
GACGAACGCUGGCGGCGUGCCUAAUACAUGCAAGUCGAACGCAGUGGGGACGGGUGCGGAACACGUGGGUAACCUCCCAUCAGAGGGGAUAACACUUGGCAACAGGUGCUAAACCGAUACUGAUUGAUGGACCCGCGGUGCAUUAGCUAGUGGGGGGGGUAACGGCGCACCAAGGCCACGAUGCAUAGCUGGACGGAGAGGAUGAUCGGCCACACUGGGACUGAGACACGGCCCAGACUCCUACGGGAGGCAGCAGUGGGGAAUAUUCGGCAAUGGACGAAAGUCUGACCGAGCCACGCCGCGUGAGUGAAGAAGGUUUUCGGGUCGUAAAGCUCUGUUGGUAGAGAGGCGGUAUCUAACCAGAAAGCCACGGCUAACUACGUGCCAGCAGCCGCGGUAAUUC